rnacentral:tRNA from 7 species
CGGGGCGUGGCUCAGCCUGGCAGAGCGUCUGGUUCGGGACCAGAAGGUCGGUGGUUCAAAUCCACUCGCCCCGACCA